CGUUAAUUCUGGCGCUCUCAAAAGCUCCCCUGCUGCUCUUCCCAGUUUCCUCUUUGCACCUUUAAAAAAAAAAAAAAGAAAUCUGAAACUGGAAGUGGAAGUACCAGUUACCAGUUAGAUUGAGUUCACUGCUUCUGCUGUGAUGAUGUUAAACUGUUCACCGUCUCUUCCCCACCGUCACAGUUUCCCUUCUUCAACUCCCCGUCUCUCUACUUCCCCCUUUUGCCUUUCCCUCUCCUUCGCAUCAUCACCAUCGUUAUCCUCUUCUUCUGCUUCUAAGCUGAGACUUUCAUCGUGCAGCUUCCAUGAUGCAUCUAUCAAUCUCAAUCCUAAACCCAAGCAUAAGGGGUUAAAGGUCAUAUGCUCAAAAGGUGAGCCCUUGAAGGUGAUGAUAUCUGGGCCUCCUGGGUCUGGUAAAGGGACUCAGUGUGAGAUGAUUGUCAAGAAGUUUGGAUUGGUGCACGUAUCAACUGGAGACCUUUUACGUGCUGAAGUAGCAGCUGGCAGUGACAUCGGAAACAGGGCAAAGGAGUACAUGAGUUCUGGUCGACUCGUACCAGAUGAGAUUGUGACUGCUAUGGUAAAAGCACGAUUAGCACAGAAAGAUGCUAAAGAAAACGGUUGGCUUCUGGACGGGUACCCCAGAAGUUUUGCUCAAGCGCAGAGCCUGGAGGAAAUGAAGAUUAGACCUGAUGUCUAUAUUGUGCUCGAUGUUCCUGAUGAGAUUCUAGUAGACAGAGGUGUUGGCAGAAGGCUAGAUCCUGUAACGGGAAAAAUAUACCACAUUACUAACUUCCCUCCAGAGAAUGACGAAAUUAGAGAUAGGCUUGUCACUCGACCUGAUGAUACUGAGGAGAAGGUCAAGUCACGUUUGAAAAUAUACAAAAAAAAUGCAGAAGCAAUCUUACCGAUAUACAGGGAUAUUCUAAAGAAGGUUGAUGGAAACCAUCUCAAAGAAGUAGUCUUUAAAGAUGUAGAAACUUUGUUGUUGCAUGUGAAGGAGAAUGAAGAGACUGAAAAAUUAGUGGUUGGGAGUGACAACUAUCUGGUUAGGCCAACAUCAAGCAAGGAGAGUUGGAGAGGAAUUCCAACUAGAUUGAAUAACAUUCCUCAUUCGCGAGAAAUCAGGGAAUACUUCUAUAACGAUGUUCUGCAAGCUACAACAAGAGCCAUAAAUGAUGGGAAAACUCGAUUAAAGGUGGAGAUUAAUAUUCCUGAGCUGAACCCUGAAAUGGAUGUUUAUCGAAUAGGUACCUUGAUGGAACUUGUUCGGACUGUUGCUCUCUCAUUUGCUGAUGAUGGAAAACAUGUUAAGGUUUGUGUUCAAGGGUCAAUGGGACAAGGAGCACUUGCUGGUAUGCCCUUACAGCUUGCAGGAAGUAGAAAGAUCUUGGAGUUCAUGGACUGGGGAGAAUAUGGUGCUAAGGAUACCUUUAUCAAGAUUGGUUCAAUCGGUGCCAAAGAGGUUGAUGAAGAGGAUGAUAUGUACAUUUUAGUGGCACCUCAAAAUGCAGUAGGAAAUUGUAUUAUUGAUGUGAGCAGAUCAAGAGGAAAUGAGUACUUGUUUUACUUGAGAUGAGUUUACCCGAGUGCCUGUAAAUCCAUCACUUGUACCUUUUGUUCUUUUGUAUGGUGAGAGGGCCACUUCAUCAACAGUCUUGUGUGGCGGCGGAUUAUGGAUUUUGUCCUUCGAAUUUUUUUUUUGGAAAGGUAUUUCCAGCUUAAAUUUCGUCCAAUAAAGUUGACAUCUUCAGUAGUAAUGAUAUUUCAGGAUGUCCCAUCCAUAUGCUUACGAGUUAUUCAAGAGGAUAGAUGAGUCACCUGGCAAGGAGAAAUAUGUUCCCUUGGCAAGCUUCCCAGAAAGACCGACAGGGGAGGAGAUUAACGAUGCAUUUGAAGGAAGAGAUAGAAGUAAAGUCAAAAGGGCUUCAGGGAUUUGGGGCCUAUUGAGUGGUAUCUUUUGAGCGUUGAAGGAGAAAAUGGAUGACAAAAAAUGCACUCAAACGAGACAUUAUACUUUGUCCAAGGAAACCGAAGAGAAGGGAUCUUUAUCAACCACUAAUAUGAUAGGGCAUCGGAAUUAACUCUCUCUCAGCCUGUGACAGAUUGUUGGCAAAGGGUAGGGUUCCAUGAAAGUGAAAAUUUGGUCCUCACCAACAAAAAUUAAAAAAACAAAAAAAAGGUGAAAAAUUUGGUGAAUGGAUAUCCCUUCUUUUUCUUUUUCCUCUAGUAAAAGAACCAGUGUUGCAUUAUUACUUUCUUUUUUCCUGUUUUUCUCUUCUAACCUUUAGGGAAUAUAUGGUAUAUACGACGGAUAAGCUCA